rnacentral:rRNA from 1 species
UACCAGCACCCCGAGUGGUCGGGACGUUUAUUGGGCCUAAAGCAUCCGUAGCCGGUUCUACAAGUCUUCCGUUAAAUCCACCUGCUUAACAGAUGGGCUGCGGAAGAUACUAUAGAGCCAGGAGGCGGGAGAGGCAAGCGGUACUCGAUGGGUAGGGGUAAAAUCCGUUGAUCCAUUGAAGACCACCAGUGGCGAAGGCGGCUUGCCAGAACGCGCUCGACGGUGAGGGAUGAAAGCUGGGGGAGCAAACCGG